UCCCUGGUGGCUCAGAUGGUAAAGAAUCUGCCUGCAAUGCAGGAAACCCAGGUUCAAUCCCUGGGUUGGGAA
rfam:TPA: Bos taurus chromosome 25, whole genome shotgun sequence.